GGUGGUAAUGCCGGAUGCUCCAUCACACUGCAUGGUGUGUUGGGAAAGCCUUUGCGGCAUGGGAUGGGGUCGCGUCCUAUCAGCUUGAUGGCGGGGUAACGGCCCACCAUGGCUUCGACGGGUAGCCGGCCUGAGAGGGCGACCGGCCACAUUGGGACUGAGAUACGGCCCAGACUCCUACGGGAGGCAGCAGUGGGGAAUAUUGCACAAUGGGCGCAAGCCUGAUGCAGCGACGCCGCGUGAGGGAUGGAGGCCUUCGGGUUGUAAACCUCUUUUGUUAGGGAGCAAGGCAUUUUGUGUUGAGUGUACCUUUCGAAUAAGCACCGGCUAACUACGUGCCAGCAGCCGCGGUAAUACGUAGGGUGCAAGCGUUAUCCGGAAUUAUUGGGCGUAAAGGGCUCGUAGGCGGUUCGUCGCGUCCGGUGUGAAAGUCCAUCGCUUAACGGUGGAUCCGCGCCGGGUACGGGCGGGCUUGAGUGCGGUAGGGGAGACUGGAAUUCCCGGUGUAACGGUGGAAUGUGUAGAUAUCGGAAA
rnacentral:rRNA from 1 species